CAUAGCGACUAUCGUGGCAUAUCAAUAAGCGGAGGAAAAGAAACUAACAAGGAUUCCCCUAGUAACGGCGAGUGAAGCGGGAAGAGCUCAAAUUUGAAAUCUUAAAGGGUUUCCCUUUACGAAUUGUAGUUUAAAGAAGUGUUUUCUGUUGGAGUUUCGGUAAAAGUUCUUUGGAAUAGGACAUCAUAGAGGGUGAGAAUCCCGUAUUUGAUCGUUACUUUCCAGCUGUGUGAUACACUUUCAAAGAGUCGGAUUGUUUGGGAAUGCAGUCCAAAAUGGGUGGUAAAUUUCAUCUAAAGCUAAAUAUUGGCGAGAGACCGAUAGCGAACAAGUACCGUGAGGGAAAGAUGAAAAGAACUUUGAAAAGAGAGUUAAACAGUACGUGAAAUUGUCAAAAGGGAAGCGUUUGACACCAGUGUUGUUUAGUUGAAAAUCAAUUCAAUAGUUUUUGAUUCUAAGUAGUAUUGACUUCAUCAGCUUGCUGCUUUCUUCUCAGAAAUUAUUGAAUGCACUUUUCAGUUAACAAGUCAACAUCAAUUUCUUUUGUUGUAAAAGGGUAAGAGGAAGGUGGCUUGCGCUUCGGCUCAAGUGUUUAUAGCCUUUUAUCUCUGCAAUCGGAGAGAUUGAGGUCUGCAGCGUAGAUCCUUCGGGGCUAGAUACAUUGGUGCUAAGCUAUAGCCUUGUAUAGACAACUUGUUGACUAUGCUCAGUCAUGUAGCUUACUCGCUGAUGCUAUUUACCUACGCUUAGGAUGUUGAUAGUCACAGCGUGUAC
rnacentral:rRNA from 1 species